rnacentral:rRNA from 1 species
UACGUAGGGGGCAAGCGUUGUCCGGAUUUACUGGGCGUAAAGAGCGCGUAGGCGGAACGUUAAGCGUGGCCUGAAAGCCCCCCGGCUCAACCGGGGAAGGCGGCUGCGAACUGGCGUUCUUGAGGGCGAUAGAGGGGGGCGGAAGUUCCUGGUGUAGCGGUGAAAUGCGUAGAGAUCAGGAGGAACACCUAUUGCGAAGGCAGCUCGCUGGGACGUAACUGACGCUGAGACGCGAAAGCGUGGGGAGCAAACAGG